AUCAAGGAGUAGGAAGGAAAACACAAGUUAUUCCUCCCUUGUUAGAGGACAGAUUUCCUUGCAGUUUCAGUCAUAUAUUUGGAGGUGGAUAUGCAGCUGGAUACUACAGUUACAAGUGGGCUGAGGUGCUGUCUGCAGAUGCUUUUUCGGCAUUUGAGGAUGCUGGGUUGGACGACGACAAG